UACUGGGUUGGCCAAAAACAUUCGUUCAGGUUUUUCUGUUAACAUCUCAUGGAAAAACCUGAAUGAACCUUUUGGCCAACCCAGUAUAU
rnacentral:miRNA from 1 species